GUAUGUGGCAUAUGGGUGUAGGGUACCCUGGUGUGGGUGGUUGUGGCUGCUGCUCCUGCAGUUGUCACUGUCCAUGCACAAAGAGUUGUAGCAAAGAGGAAAGUUCCAAGAAACGUCGAUGUCAAUGUAAGAAGAGAACUGACUGUCAAAUCAAAGGCCAUAAAAAGAAGCGUGUCCACAAAGGGCGGGGUCAAGACAAGUGCAGUGGAAGCGCAAACUGCAAGAAAAGUAGUGGAUGCAAGAGCUGCUGCUUGAAGAAAAUCUGCAAAAUCAAGUGUAGGUCUGGAAAAAAUAAGAGACCAUGAAGUUCCUGCGUAUCCAGAAGGACUAAACGAUGGAAGCAAUGUUCUGAAGAUCCAUCAAGCAGCAAACAAUUCUCAAUCAAAAGUCAUCCAAAAUAUUUAAUUUCUUUAAAACGACAAUUCAGCGAAAUAAUUGAAUUAUAUUUGCAUCAAUAAAGGCCAUGACCAAG